rnacentral:rRNA from 1 species
GACGAACGCUGGCGGCGCGCUUAACACAUGCAAGUCGAACGGAAAGGCCUGCUUUCCCUUGUGGAUUGCGGGUACUCGAGUGGCGAACGGGUGAGUAACACGUGAGUGAUCUGCCCCCAACUUGGGUAUAAGCCUGGGAAACUGGGUCUAAUUCCCGAUAGGACUGCAGGGUGGUGCCUGUGGUGGAAAACGAUUUUCUAGUGGUUGGGGAUGAGCUCGCGGCCUAUCAGCUGUUGGUGGGGUAAUGGCCUACCAAGGCGGCGACGGGUAGCCGGCCUGAGAGGGUGGACGGCCACAUUGGGACUGGGAUACGGCCCAGACUCCUACGGGAGGCAGCAGUGGGGAAUAUUACACAAUGGGCGGAAGCCUGAUGCAGCGACGCCGCGUGGGGGAUGACGGCCUUCGGGUUGUAAACUCCUUUCGACCGCGAGGAAGCCACCUGGUUGGAAGGGUGGUGACGGUAGUGGUAGAAGAAGCACCGGCUAACUACGUG